rnacentral:rRNA from 1 species
UACGGGGGGGGCAAGCGUUGUUCGGAAUUACUGGGCGUAAAGGGCUCGUAGGUGGCCAACUAAGUCAGACGUGAAAUCCCUCGGCUUAACCGGGGAACUGCGUCUGAUACUGGAUGGCUUGAGUUCGGGAGAGGGAUGCGGAAUUCCAGGUGUAGCGGUGAAAUGCGUAGAUAUCUGGAGGAACACCGGUGGCGAAGGCGGGUCUCUGGACAGUUCCUGACACUGAGGCACGAAGGCCAGGGGAGCAAACGGG